ensembl:snoRNA
AGGCUGUGUAUGAUGAUAACAUAGUUCAGCAGAUACCUUGUGAUGAUUACUCUACUAGUCUUUCGCUCCUAUCUGAUGCAGCCU